rnacentral:tRNA from 1 species
GCCUGGGUGGCUCAGUUGGUAGAGCGUCUGACUUUGACUCAGGUCAUGAUCUCAUGGUUCAUGGGUUUGAGCCCCACAUUGGGCU